CGAUUCGAUUAUUUUAAUACAUUCGAUAUAUUAUUCGCAUACAAAGUAGAAAAUAUUUUUCCGUCGUUACUUGGAUUUCUAUUAUACGUAAAAUCCUUAAAAUCAUACAUGAAUUAUGACUGAAUCUGUACGGUUAACUAAUGAUGACUUUCGUAAGCUCUUGGCUACACCGCGGCAACCACCGCCAGGUAGUACUCCUUCACUAAAUGCAGCGGCAGCUACGUCGUCUUCAACCGAAAAGAAAAAAACGCAAGGUUCAAGCAGUGAACGCAAUGAUUUACGCCGAAAAAAGAAAAAUUUCUAUGCAGCUCUUAAAAAACAAGAGGAUGGCAAGUUGCAACAGCUCUCGGAAAAAUAUCGUGACCGAGCGCGUGAACGACGUGAUGGUGCCAAUCCGGACUACCAAAAUGUUAGUACGCCUGGUCACAGUAGCACAAAUGCGUAUCGUGCUGUUGCUCCAGAUUUGAAAUCAGGCAUUGAUGCGGCUGAGCGUCGUCGUAGAAUUAUACAGGAGUCGAAAUUCUUGGGUGGUGAUAUGCGUCAUACUCACUUGGUGAAAGGUCUUGAUUAUGCGCUCUUGCAAAAGGUUCGUUCUGAAUUGCAAAGUAAAGAGGUUGAGGAACAGGCUCUGGCGGUUGCGGCAGCAACGGAAAAAUUGGCCGAAACCGCUGCUGCUGAACAGGCUGAGGCGGAUGCCAAAGAUGCAGAUGAUCAUAUGACUAUUAAAAGUGCUUUGGCUCGUAACAUUUUUAGUUUAGUUCAAACGCGUCGAUCAAAAGAUAUUCCACGCAUUGAGCUGUUCGCUCCCGGCCGCAUGGCUUACGUUAUUGAUUUAGAAGAUGAUUUGGGGGAAACCGAUAUACCAACAACGUUAAUACGUUCAAAAUUUGAAGUACCCGUCAAUCGAGAAGACAUUGCCACACUAACUACUAAUGAUAUUGUUAUAAAUAAACUGUCACAGAUUCUUUCUUACUUACGCGCAGGUGGACGCAAUAAGAAAAACAAGAAACGUGACAAAGACAAGCCGCUUUUCUAUGAAAAAGAAAUGGAACAGUCUUUGAAUAUGCUCGAAGUAGGAGUAAAUGUGGGUACCAACUUAUCUGAUAAAGCUGCGGGUGAUAACAUCUAUGACGAUAUUGGAGACUAUCAACCAAGUACCAAGAAUGAAGGUUCAAAAUUGGUUAAAAAUAACUCAAAAAGUGCAACUGGUUCUUAUUUCGGCGAUGUAAAAGGAGUCGAGGACACAGACCCUCUGAUUACUAAUAUACCACCACCACCUAAAAUCACAAAAACGGUAACCUCGCGCUUUGCUAACGAACCUGAGGGGUAUGCCGAGUGUUAUCCAGGAUUAGAGGAAAUGAAUGACGCUAUAGAUGAUUCAGACGACGAAGUAGACUAUACUAAAAUGGAUUUGGGCAAUAAAAAGGGACCGAUUGGGCGUUGGGAUUUCGAUACACAAGAAGAGUAUUCAGAUUAUAUGAGCACCAAAGAGGCUUUGCCCAAAGCAGCAUUUCAGUAUGGAGUUAAAAUGCAAGACGGAAGACGAACUCGCAAAAACAAAACCGAAAAGAGCGAAAAAGCAGAAUUGGAUCGAGAAUGGCAGAAAAUACAGAAUAUUAUACAAAAACGAAAAUUCCCUAAAGGAAGUGCAGAAGAGCCUGAUUACAAAGCUGCUAAAUAUUAGUUUAAAAAUCAAACAAUACCAAAUGUAUAUGCGUUUAACAGAUUUAGAGAAGUGCACAGACUUUGCUGUUUUAUUAAUUUAUAAUAAAUCUUAUCGGGCACCGCUGUUGUUUGUUUACAACUGUGAAAAGUGCCGAAAAUCUGCUUUGUAAUAUAGUAAAAAAAAGUUGGAUCAUGUGAAAAACAUAUUACUAAUUAAUUCUGCGUUAAAUCUAGUACUAACUUCACAGCUUAGAAAUUUCGCCAGCAACAUGCAUUUGGCUUGCAGUGAAAUGUUGCUAGCAACAUUAAUUGCUUAAUGAGAAGAAACGUCAAAUUUGUAAGCAUCGCCUCAGAAUCAACGGGCAACAGUUGGCUCAAAAACUACUGGACCGAUUUUAAAAAUUCUUUCACCAUUCGAAAGCUACAUCAUCCACGAGUAACAUGGAUUAUAACGGG